CAGGGAACUGUUCCGGAAUAGCUAUUGCAGAACAGCUUAUUCCCAUCAAUUACUUCACGCUGACAAACAAGCCCUCAGGCAAACUGAGUAAGGGUUGUACAACCAGUGCCCCAGAAUUCAACAUUCAGAGACAUCACAGCUACCAGCACUUCUAAGGCUGCAAGAGAAUGGAUCCACCUUGCAGGUGCUAAGGCAAACAGGGAGAAACAGUUUCCCUCCCAUACAGGAGAGGAGGCAACUAUUUACCUGUCUCCUGUGUAAAUUAAGCAUGCUAGAAUCAAAACAAUGGAAACUCCAGUUACAUAUAGGGGGAUGGGAAGCCCAUAGGAAGCAAAGAACAACAUGAGGUCAUCCUGCUUCUUGAAACAAAGUCACUGAACUUUGGAAGAUAUGAGCAUAGAAAGAAGCCUUCUUUGGCAUCCAUCACUAGACACACAAAGGAACCGAGCUCUUGCAAACUAAGAAAGAGGGGUCCUUCAACCAAGGGUGGGGAGGGGGUGAAGUCUUUGGAACUGAAUAUAGAUGAGAAACCUGCUUUGGCAAAGAUCUUUCAGCCUAAGAAGACAAGGAAAGCCAGCACCUUGUACUUUUGUGGAAGGUCCUGAUUGAAGGAAAGUCAGCCAUGGCUGGGAAGAAGAAUGAGAAACCAUCUUGAACAAAGCCUGUAACUUGCUAGAUUAAGGUUUAGACUUUUAGAAGCAUGUUUUCACUUUGAUUUGCUGCUAAUCCUUUCUAACUUUAUUCCUUUUAGUUGGCAUCA